UCGAGAAUCUUCGGCAAUGGGCGCAAGCCUGACCGAGCGACGCCGCGUGGAGGACGAAGGCCUUCGGGUUGUAAACUCCUGUCGAGGGGGAGGAAGGGGAAACCUUGACCGAUCCCUGGAGGAAGCACGGGCUAAGUUCGUGCCAGCAGCCGCGGUAAGACGAACCGUGCGAACGUUAUUCGGAAUCAUUGGGCUUAAAGCGCGUGUAGGCGGAUGGGAGCGUCGGUGUUGAAAGCCCCCGGCUCAACCGGGGAAUUGGCUCCGAAACGACCCGUCUGGAGGGGCAUAGGGGGACCUGGAACUUCCGGUGGAGCGGUGAAAUGCGUUGAGAUCGGAAGGAACGCCCGUGGCGAAAGCGAGGUCCUGGAUGCUUUCUGACGCUGAGACGCGAAAGCUAGGGUAGCGAACGG
rnacentral:rRNA from 1 species